rnacentral:lncRNA from 1 species
UUGAGUUGUUUAAUCAAGGGUAAAAUUUUGAAAAUAGUUUUAAUUUUUUAUUAAAAUUAAAAGAAAAUAUGCAAAUCAUGUUCAUGAAGAACAUGACUGCAGGGCCACGUCCACUCCGGUGGCUUCGUGAUUGUCACGAACGAUGGUUCUGCAAGAUUCAGCAGCUUUGUCGUCCAGGGAGGCGGCUGCUCUACGGUUUGGUGCAGAUCGCCACUCCUUUUCGAUGGAGUCAGUCUCAUCGCGCUUUCAUCGCACUGUUGCGGGAAGCGGCCAUGCCUGACGGUGAGACCCGGCCGGUGUACGCCGUUGAGGCGCGUUGUUGCCUCGCGCUCUCAUCGCUCGAUGGCUGAUGGCGAGGCCUCCAGAGGCGUGGCUGAAGCAUGGACGGACAGCCAUCGUUCUGCAGAUGAAGGAUGUCGCGCUGUGGAGAUCGAAGGCCGAGAUUGUCUCGGUUCGAGGUCCCCUCGCGAGUCGACGGCCAUCGUCGAGGCACGUUGUGCGCGAUGGCAGACGGCGAAGCCUCGCAUGGCGUGGCUGCCAUGCGCAGGGCCGUCGCGCGUUGGUGGUCUAAUUUUUCUUCUUCUCGCCAAUUUGUCGUGGGAGAGGGCACCUCGACGCCAAUAAUCUCCUCGCUGGGCGUCGUUUUCUCGCACUGGCGGCCUGUGCCAGCGGUCUGGUCUGGUUAAUUGCUUGGCGGCGGCCAGGUUCGUCAGAGGAAGAAGAUGAAUUUGUAAGCCAAAUUACGAUUUGGUUUCUGCGAAUUUUAAAAAUCUUCAAAGUAACUUUUUUU